rnacentral:rRNA from 1 species
AUUGAACGCUGGCGGCAUGCUUUACACAUGCAAGUCGAACGGUAACAGGUUAAGCUGACGAGUGGCGAACGGGUGAGUAAUGCAUCGGAACGUGCCCGAUCGUGGGGGAUAACGCAGCGAAAGCUGCGCUAAUACCGCAUACGGUCUGAGGAUGAAAGCGGGGGACCGUAAGGCCUCGCGCGAUCAGAGCGGCCGGUGUCGGAUUAGGUAGUUGGUGGGGUAAAGGCCCACCAAGCCGACGAUCGGUAGCUGGUCUGAGAGGACGACCAGCCAGCCUGGGAGUGAGGCACGGCCGAGACUCCGAGGGGAGGCAGCAGUGGGGAAUUUUGGACAAUGGGCGAAAGCCGGAUCCAGCCAUGCCGCGGGCAGGAUGAAGGCCUUCGGGUUGUAAACUGCUUUUGUACGGAGCGAAAAGGACUGCCCUAAUACGGUGGUCCCAUGACGGUACCGUAAGAAUAAGCACCGGCUAACUACGUGCCAGCCGCCGCCGUAA